GCGGGUAUAGUUCAGUGGUAGAACGUCAGCUUCCCAAGCUGAAUGUCGUCGGUUCGAGCCCGAUUACCCGCU
rnacentral:tRNA from 1 species